rnacentral:rRNA from 1 species
CACGUAGGGUGCGAGCGUUGUCCGGAAUUAUUGGGCGUAAAGAGCUCGUAGGCGGUGUGUCGCGUCGGCCGUGAAAACCUGCAGCUUAACUGUGGGCUUGCGGUCGAUACGGGCAUCACUGGAGUUCGGCAGGGGAGACUGGAAUUCCUGGUGUAGCGGUGAAAUGCGCAGAUAUCAGGAGGAACACCGGUGGCGAAGGCGGAUCUCUGGGCCAUUACUGACGCUGGAGGAGCGAAAAGCGUGGGGAGCGAACAGG